GGAGCGUUCUGUAAGCCUGCGAAGGUGUGCUGUGAGGCAUGCUGGAGGUAUCAGAAGUGCGAAUGCUGACAUAAGUAACGAUAAAGCGGGUGAAAAGCCCGCUCGCCGGAAGACCAAGGGUUCCUGUCCAACGUUAAUCGGGGCAGGGUGAGUCGACCCCUAAGGCGAGGCCGAAAGGCGUAGUCGAUGGGAAACAGGUUAAUAUUCCUGUACUUGGUGUUACUGCGAAGGGGGGACGGAGAAGGCUAUGUUGGCCGGGCGACGGUUGUCCCGGUUUAAGCGUGUAGGCUGGUUUUCCAGGCAAAUCCGGAAAAUCAAGGCUGAGGCGUGAUGACGAGGCACUACGGUGCUGAAGCAACAAAUGCCCUGCUUCCAGGAAAAGCCUCUAAGCAUCAGGUAACAUCAAAUCGUACCCCAAACCGACACAGGUGGUCAGGUAGAGAAUACCAAGGCGCUUGAGAGAACUCGGGUGAAGGAACUAGGCAAAAUGGUGCCGUAACUUCGGGAGAAGGCACGCUGAUAUGUAGGUGAAGUCCCUUGCGG
rnacentral:rRNA from 1 species